rnacentral:lncRNA from 1 species
AUGGCUGCUCAGUCUGCUGCCCCCUCUACUUCUCCUGCUUGGCUUAUGGAUACGGGUGCUAACUCGGAUCUCACUCAUGAUUUAGGCAACUUGUCUCUUGCCAAUGACUAUCGUGGGCACGAUCAAUUUGGUGGUGUGCUCGAUGGCACAGGUUUAAAUAUCACUCAUAUUGGUCAAUCUUCUGUAUCUUCUCCUGCUACCAUUUUUGCCUUCACCGACGUUUUGCAUUGUCUUCAAUCCUCCAGUCAUCUUAUUUCUGUUAAUAAAUUUGCUCGUGAUAACUGCUGUUUUUUCACCUUUGAUCCAUCUUAUUUUCUCAUUCAGGACUUGGAGACGGGGACGAUUCUUUUUCGAGGCAAAAGUGA